GAGGGGGUGACUAGUGACAGAGUGAGGGAGGGAAGGGGUGACUAGUGACAGAGUGAGGGAGGUGGUGAUUAGUGACAGAGGGAGGGAUGCGGUGACUAGUGACAGUCACCACCUCCUUCACUCUGUCACUGUCACUCCCUCCCUCACUCUGUCACUGUGUCACCCCCUUCCUCACUCUGUCACUAGUCACCUCUUCCUUCCCUCACUCUGUCACUAGUCACCCCCUC
rnacentral:sRNA from 1 species